AGAGUUUGAUCCUGGCUCAGAACGAACGCUGGCGGCGUGCUUAACACAUGCAAGUCGAACGGGAUUAGGGGCUUGCUCCUAAUCUAGUGGCGCACGGGUGAGUAACGCGUGGAUAACCUACCCUGGUGUCUGGGAUAACAUCUCGAAAGGGGUGCUAAUACCGGAUAAGCUCACGAGAACUUUGGUUCUUGCGGGAAAAGAUGGCCUCUGAAUAUGCUAUCGUAUCAGGAUGGGUCCGCGUACCAUUAGCUAGUUGGUGGUGUAAUGGACCACCAAGGCGACGAUGGUUAGCUGGUCUGAGAGGAUGAUCAGCCACACUGGAACUGAGACACGGUCCAGACUCCUACGGGAGGCAGCAGUGGGGAAUAUUGGUUAAUGUGGGAAACCGCGAACCAGCAACGCCGCGUGCACGAUGAAGGCCUUCGGGUCGUAAAGUGCUUUUAGAGAGGAUGAGGAAGGACAGUACUCUCUGAAUAAGCCUCGGCUAACUACGUGCCAGCAGCCGCGGUAAAACGUAGGAGGCGAGCGUUAUCCGGAUUUACUGGGCGUAAAGCGCGUGUAGGCGGUCUGACAAGUUGGAUGUGAAAACUCCUGGCUUAACUGGGAGAGGCCGUUCAAAACUGUUAGACUUGAGAGUGGUAGAGGGAGGUGGAAUUCCGGGUGUAGUGGUGAAAUGCGUAGAUAUCCGGAGGAAACCCAUGUGGCGAAAGCGGGCCUCCUGGACCAUUUCUGACGCUCAGACGCGAAAGCUAAGGUAGCAAACGGGAUUAGAGACCCCGGUAGUCUUAGCUGUAAACGAUGUGAACUAGGUGUCGGUGGGUUCAAAUCCAUCGGUACCGAAGCUAACGCGAUAAGUUCACCGCCUGGGGACUACGGCCGCAAGGUUAAAACUCAAAGGAAUUGACGG
rnacentral:rRNA from 1 species